rnacentral:lncRNA from 1 species
AUGAAUAGGAAACAAGGACACAGAGAGAGCAUGUCCAUACAGACCCUUCUAGAAGCAUGGCUGAGACAAGGGCCUGGGAGAGUAGCUGGAGGAAGUGGGGGUGGAAGCCUGAGGACAGACCUUUACGAGAAGCACAGUUCUGUCUUCAGCAUCCUCUCCUCCCUCCCGAGUGGUCUGAGUGGAUGCCAGCUCCCUCCGAGAAGUUGUGAAGCCAUUACAAGCCGGUGGGUGCUGCAGCCUCGGCCCUGCACACAGACUGCCCAGUGUCUGCUUGGCUCCAGGGCAGGAGAGCGCUGCCUUGGGACCGACAGAAAACUGACCAGCUUGUUUAUCCUUGGGACCAGAAGAAACCAGCUCUUUUUCAUUCUCAAUGGCCAGGCUUGGAAAUCCAGCUUGCCAGAAGCCGUCCUUUGGGGAGACUCUGGCCAGGGCAUUAAAGAGGCAGGACUUUGCUGGAAAUUGUGCUCGCUGGCCAAGGCCAGGUGGAAAGAUCAAUCUGGGCUUUAUGAAUUAGUCCCUUCAUUUUUCUGGGUCUGCUUUUCCUCAUCUGGAAAACAGAUUGGACCAUGAGGCUGCACACUGGGUACCAGUCAGGGCCCAGGGGGAUAACAGGGGAUCCUAGUGACCAAGCCCUGGGCUUGAGGCAGGGGUUGGAUCCAAGGCAGGAGGUAUAAGCCAGGGGUGAGGCAAAUCCAACUACAAGAGCAACGGCUGCAACCUUCAAAUCAGCUCAACUCAUGGGAACAACCUAGGCCCAACCGCCCUGCUUUCAAUAGCCCCUGUGACCCACCCCUCUUUAUUUCUGACCUUACUUUGCCUGACUCCUAACCCUCAACUCCAUUUACACCCCACAGAGCUUGCACUUCAUAUGCAGGAGCCACGGUCACAACAUCCUGCCUUCUUCAAGGACGCCGAUGGAGAGCUGCUCCUUCAGCCCUUCCUGCUUCGGUCCUCCUCAGGUAGGAGAGACCCUAAGCUGGUGUAUUAGUAAGGCAUUGCUGCUGUAGAAAAUAGGCCCCAGCGUAUAACAGAUAAACACAAAGGAAGUUUAUUUCAUGUCUCAUCUAACAGUUCUGGGAGGUCCUAAUUGGAGUUCAAGGGUGGUGAGUGGGGACGGGGCCAUCAUCCAGGCAGUCAGAGACUUUGGCUGGUGGCAGCUAUGUCAUUUGUAAAGCAGCUUCCAAAUUCAUGCUGGGGGAUCACUAUCAGAUGACCCAGGGAGAGAGUAUAGAAGGGUUUUAUUGGUCAGAUCUGGAAAGAAGACACAUGUAUCACUUGGCAUUGACUACAACUAUGCUGCAUGGCCUUACACAGCUACAAGGAUGGAGUCUGCUGUGAGCCCAGGAAGACGAGGAAACAGGUUGGGUGAAGAGCCGGCUGGUCUCUGUCAUGCCCAACUUCAGCCCUUUGGGAUCUUCGCAACCUGGGCUUGUGGCUCAAGCUGGCUUGGAUGCUGGGCCCAGCCCAGGGUUCCUGAAAGUCCUCCCUCUGGGAAUGGGAGUGGGUUGGGAUUUCGGGAAGUGCUGUUUCUAUCUCAGGUGGAUUAAGUGGCAGGAUGUGGUACCACUGCCAUCACCUUCUCCAAACAUCAUCAUUUACCACAUGCCUUCCAGGCCUAAGGAAUUGACUGUCCCCUGCAGGGAGGAGAGCAGUGAGGACGAGCUCACUGGUGAACUCAUCGGAACCUUGGAAGGUGUUUCUCAGCCCCAUGGCUCUGACCUCUCUAGGGAAACCUGUGUGUGGGUGUAGGUGAAGAUGAUCACACAAAACAAUCACAAUAAUGCGGAAGCAUUGUCCCCAUUUCACAGAUGAGAAAACUGAGGCUCAGAGAAACCAACUUUUAUAGGUGCAAAUUGUAAGCCAGGGUUUGAAAACAGGUCAUCUGACUUCACAUUCUGUAUUUCUCUCCCUGUAUCAUGCUUCUUCCUUCCUUCUUUCACUAAUGUGUCCCUAAGUCCAUUCAAAUGCCACCUCCCCAUGAAGCCUGUUGCUUCUGUCUGAAUCUCCAUUGGCCUUCCUCUGUGUCUCUUCUAAGUCAGCCUUGUGAUAGGAUAUUUUGUGCAUAUCAAGUUCCUCUGUAAGCCUCUUGAGGGCAAAGACUAGAUCAAUUUCACCUCUAAAUCUCUCCCUCCUGAAUUCAUAUACAUAGGUACACACACACAAAUAUCCAUUCAGGGAAUGAAUACUUUAGUCACCGGAUUCUUGAAUCUGGUUAAAUGGAAAAUCUAAGCCAACUAUGAAAGAAAGAUCAAAGGACGAUUUAUAGUAAACCACACACUCGCUCCUGUAUUUUUUAUUCACACCCUGUUCCCUUCUCUCAUAUCCUGGUUUUCCCAGGCGGGCUUCCAUGGGGCUUGGCUCAUUCACUCUGGCUAGAGAAUUUCCUAACAUUCUGUUUAUUAGUAGUAAUAGCAGUAGGACUAUUACUAUGAAUAGCUGAGAUUUACAGAAGCUCCAAAUGGCAUCUUCCUUGAGUGCAGAGACAGUGGAGCCCCUUGGCCCUGGCUCAGGUCUGGCCCACUCAAUAUUUUCUUUUGUUUUAAUUGAAGUAUAGUUGAUUUACAAUGUUUCAGUUACACAGCAAAGUAAUUCAGUUUCAUAUACAUAUAUAUAUAUAUAUAUAUUCUUUUUCAGAUUCUUGUCUAUUAUUACAAGAUAUUGAAUACAGUUCCCUGUGCUAUACAGUAGGCCCUUGCUGUCUACCUAUUUAUAUAUACAUAUACUUUCAAUAGGGCUGCCCAGGUGGCUCAGUAGGUAAAGAAUCUGCUGGCAAAUGUAGGAGAUUCCAGUUCAGUCCCUGGGUGGGGAAAAUCCCCUGGAAGGGGGCAUGGCAAACCACUCCACUAUUCUUGCCUGGAAAAUCCCAUGGGCAGAGGAGCCUGGCAGGCCACAGUCCAUAGGGUCGCAAAGAGUUGGACAC